rnacentral:rRNA from 1 species
UACGUAGGGUGCGAGCGUUAAUCGGAAUUACUGGGCGUAAAGCGUGCGCAGGCGGUUCGUUAAGUCAGCUGUGAAAGCCCCGGGCUCAACCUGGGAACUGCGUCUGAUACUGGAAGGCUUGAGUUCGGGAGAGGGAUGUGGAAUUCCAGGUGUAGCGGUGAAAUGCGUAGAUAUCUGGAGGAACACCGGUGGCGAAGGCGGCAUCCUGGACCGAUACUGACGCUGAGGAGCGAAAGCGUGGGGAGCGAACAGG